rnacentral:tRNA from 1 species
GCUGGGGUGGCAGAGUACGGCCACUGCAAAAGAUCUAAACCCUUUUUACAGAGGUUCAAAUCCUCUCCCCAGCU